UAUAUGAAUCUAUUUAUUUAGAACAGUGGUAUGGUGGCAAUAUUUAGUGUCACAGCUUAACACAUGCUCCAAUAAAGUUGUAGCAAUCCCAUCAAUAGUAGCUGCUGCGCCGCCUUUAUCUGCAAGUGGUAAACAAAGGAUUUGUAGGUUUUAUAAUUAAGUAUGAAGUUAAAAUAUCAUUUAGCU
rnacentral:lncRNA from 1 species